GAGCUCGUAGGCGGUUUGUCGCGUCUGCUGUGAAAGCCCGGGGCUCACCCCGGGUCUGCUUUGGGUACGGGCAGACUAGAGUGCAGUAGGGGAGACUGGAAUUCCUGGUGUAGCGGUGAAAUGCGCAGAUAUCAGGAGGAACACCGAUGGCGAAGGCAGGUCUCUGGGCUGUUACUGACGCUGAGGAGCGAAAGCAUGGGGAGCGAACAGGAUUAGAUACCCUGGUAGUCCAUGCCGUAAACGUUGGGCACUAGGUGUGGGGGACAUUCCACGUUUUCCGCGCCGUAUCUAACGCAUUAAGUGCCCCGCCUGGGGAGUACGGCCGCAAGGCUAAAACUCAAAGGAAUUGACGGGGGCCCGCACAAGCGGCGGAGCAUGCGGAUUAAUUCGAUGCAACGCGAAGAACCUUACCAAGGCUUGACAUUCACCGGACCGCCCCAGAGAUGGGGUUUCCCUUCGGGGCUGGUGGACAGGUGGUGCAUGGUUGUCGUCAGCUCGUGUCGUGAGAUGUUGGGUUAAGUCCCGCAACGAGCGCAACCCUCGUUCUAUGUUGCCAGCACGUGAUGGUGGGGACUCAUAGGAGACUGCCGGGGUCAACUCGGAGGAAGGUGGGGAUGACGUCAAAUCAUCAUGCCCCUUAUGUCUUGGGCUUCACGCAUGCUACAAUGGCCGGUACAAAGGGUUGCGAUACUGUGAGGUGGAGCUAAUCCCAAAAAGCCGGUCUCAGUUCGGAUUGAGGUCUGCAACUCGACCUCAUGAAGUCGGAGUCGCUAGUAAUCGCAGAUCAGCAACGCUGCGGAGAAUACGUUCCCGGGCCUUGUACACACCGCCCGUCAAGUCACGAAAGUUGGUAACACCCGAAGCCGGUGGCCUACCCCUUGUGGAGGGAGCCUUCGAAAGUGGGACUGGCGAUUGGGACGAAGUCGUA
rnacentral:rRNA from 1 species